GCGUGCGGCUGCUAUACUGCAAGUCGAGCGGACAGAUGGGAGCUUGCUCCCUGAUGUUAGCGGCGGACGGGUGAGUAACACGUGGGUAACCUGCCUGUAAGACUGGGAUAACUCCGGGAAACCGGGGCUAAUACCGGAUGGUUGUUUGAACCGCAUGGUUCAAACAUAAAAGGUGGCUUCGGCUACCACUUACAGAUGGACCCGCGGCGCAUUAGCUAGUUGGUGAGGUAACGGCUCACCAAGGCAACGAUGCGUAGCCGACCUGAGAGGGUGAUCGGCCACACUGGGACUGAGACACGGCCCAGACUCCUACGGGAGGCAGCAGUAGGGAAUCUUCCGCAAUGGACGAAAGUCUGACGGAGCAACGCCGCGUGAGUGAUGAAGGUUUUCGGAUCGUAAAGCUCUGUUGUUAGGGAAGAACAAGUACCGUUCGAAUAGGGCGGUACCUUGACGGUACCUAACCAGAAAGCCACGGCUAACUACGUGCCAGCAGCCGCGGUAAUACGUAGGUGGCAAGCGUUGUCCGGAAUUAUUGGGCGUAAAGGGCUCGCAGGCGGUUUCUUAAGUCUGAUGUGAAAGCCCCCGGCUCAACCGGGGAGGGUCAUUGGAAACUGGGGAACUUGAGUGCAGAAGAGGAGAGUGGAAUUCCACGUGUAGCGGUGAAAUGCGUAGAGAUGUGGAGGAACACCAGUGGCGAAGGCGACUCUCUGGUCUGUAACUGACGCUGAGGAGCGAAAGCGUGGGGAGCGAACAGGAUUAGAUACCCUGGUAGUCCACGCCGUAAACGAUGAGUGCUAAGUGUUAGGGGGUUUCCGCCCCUUAGUGCUGCAGCUAACGCAUUAAGCACUCCGCCUGGGGAGUACGGUCGCAAGACUGAAACUCAAAGGAAUUGACGGGGGCCCGCACAAGCGGUGGAGCAUGUGGUUAAUUCGAAGCAACGCGAAGACCU
rnacentral:rRNA from 1 species